UGCUUGACUCAUUUCACUCAGCAUAAUCUCUUCCAGUCCCGUCUGAUCUCGGAAGCUAAGCAGGGUCGGGCCUGGUUAGUACUUGGAUGGGAGAAUUGUGGUUUAAUAAGGGAGAGCAU
rnacentral:rRNA from 1 species